AGAGUUUGAUCCUGGCUCAGGAUGAACGCUAGCUACAGGCUUAACACAUGCAAGUCGAGGGGCAGCAUUUUAGUUUGCUUGCAAACUGAAGAUGGCGACCGGCGCACGGGUGAGUAACACGUAUCCAACCUGCCGAUAACUCCGGGAUAGCCUUUCGAAAGAAAGAUUAAUACCGGAUAGUAUACGAAUAUCGCAUGAUAUUUUUAUUAAAGAAUUUCGGUUAUCGAUGGGGAUGCGUUCCAUUAGUUUGUUGGCGGGGUAACGGCCCACCAAGACUACGAUGGAUAGGGGUUCUGAGAGGAAGGUCCCCCACAUUGGAACUGAGACACGGUCCAAACUCCUACGGGAGGCAGCAGUGAGGAAUAUUGGUCAAUAGGCGCGAGCCUGAACCAGCCAAGUAGCGUGAAGGAUGAAGGCUCUAUGAGUCGUAAACUUCUUUUAUAUGGGAAUAAAGUUUUCCACGUGUGGAAUUUUGUAUGUACCAUAUGAAUAAGGAUCGGCUAACUCCGUGCCAGCAGCCGCGGUAAUACGGAGGAUCCGAGCGUUAUCCGGAUUUAUUGGGUUUAAAGGGAGCGUAGGUGGAUUGUUAAGUCAGUUGUGAAAGUUUGCGGCUCAACCGUAAAAUUGCAGUUGAAACUGGCAGUCUUGAGUACAGUAGAGGUGGGCGGAAUUCGUGGUGUAGCGGUGAAAUGCUUAGAUAUCACGAAGAACUCCGAUUGCGAAGGCAGCUCACUAGACUGUCACUGACACUGAUGCUCGAAAGUGUGGGCAUCAAACAGGAUUAGAUACCCUGGUAGUCCACACAGUAAACGAUGAAUACUCGCUGUUUGCGAUAUACAGUAAGCGGCCAAGCGAAAGCAUUAAGUAUUCCACCUGGGGAGUACGCCGGCAACGGUGAAACUCAAAGGAAUUGACGGGGGCCCGCACAAGCGGAGGAACAUGUGGUUUAAUUCGAUGAUACGCGAGGAACCUUACCCGGGCUUAAAUUGCAACAGAAUAUAUUGGAAACAGUAUAGCCGUAAGGCUGUUGUGAAGGUGCUGCAUGGUUGUCGUCAGCUCGUGCCGUGAGGUGUCGGCUUAAGUGCCAUAACGAGCGCAACCCUUAUCUUUAGUUACUAACAGGUUAUGCUGAGGACUCUAGAGAGACUGCCGUCGUAAGAUGUGAGGAAGGUGGGGAUGACGUCAAAUCAGCACGGCCCUUACGUCCGGGGCUACACACGUGUUACAAUGGGGGGUACAGAAGGCGGCUACCUGGUGACAGGAUGCUAAUCCCAAAAACCUCUCUCAGUUCGGAUCGAAGUCUGCAACCCGACUUCGUGAAGCUGGAUUCGCUAGUAAUCGCGCAUCAGCCAUGGCGCGGUGAAUACGUUCCCGGGCCUUGUACACACCGCCCGUCAAGCCAUGAAAGCCGGGGGUACCUGAAGUACGUAACCGCAAGGAGCGUCCUAGGGUAAAACUGGUAAUUGGGGCUAAGUCGUAACAA
rnacentral:rRNA from 1 species